AAAGGGGAUUGGAAUCCUAAGAUGAAAUUUUGCUUCUUUUGGACACUGCCAUAUGUUAGAAUGGAAGUAAGAUGAAAUUUCAAAUCACGAUUCUUUCUUAUUUAAACUCUAUUGCUAAUGAAAUUUUCAUGCUAAACGUCAUAAUGUUCUUGUAAAUAAUAUACCACAUCGAUGUUUCAGUCAACAGAACGGUUUUGAAAAAGAAUACAAAUACAUGGACGUCACGGCGGUAAGGGCGAUAGAGAUGUGAGAUAAGAAUCACAUGCAAAAGUGGCCCGCCAUUUCAUUAUAUUUUGCUUCUUUUGGACACUGCCAUAUGAAUGCUGUCUACGCAAUUUCUGUCUUUACGAUUACAAAUAAUCCCCUCUAUACUAAAGCACAAAUCAGUUGACAAAACAAAUUUUGACAAAUAGAAAAGAUUUUAGAAAAAAAAACAAUUGACUGGAAAAAAAAAACCUCUUCGAUCCCUGUUUUUUGCAAUUUUAUAUAUCAAUAUUUCAUUCAUGUUCAAAGCCACUCUACCACGAUCUCAACUCUUCUCCUAUUUAUAUAACUUUUGAUCUAAUAAUUUACUUUAUGUUUCUUUUUUUUCUUUCUUCUAUCUUCUCCAACAAAGCAACAAAUCUUUUCACCUCUCAUAAAUCUGCAAUUUUGACUUCGUGUUUCUUCGAUCCCUGGUGAUCACGGUUUGGAGUGAUAGUAUGGAGCAUAAAAUAUUAUUCUUGUGGAAUCAAAGAAGCGCAUAAGGUUUUGGCAUCACGAAGAAGAGUGGUAAAAAGAAUCUGACAAUACUAAAAGCAUGAUAUCAAGUCCUCUAAGCGCGUCCACGUCAGCUGAAAAAAUCAACCUACCAUAAAUCAUCCUUUUGCCACAUCAUCGUCGAAUCCGGUCUUUCAAGGAUCUGAAGCGUAAUUUUUUUUCCUUCUCCGACUAUCCCACUUUGUCGUCACCGAUCAAAUUAUGCACUUCAGUUACAGUAACCUACGAUUCAUCAAUCUAUUAUAAUUUUAAGUCAUCUUAAAUGGUUUCGUUCCAUCUCCCCUUAUAUCUCCUUAUAUAUAAAAUGCUCCAUCUGAUCUUCAAUCAACCCUAAUUGAAAAACUUCAUUGAAGAAGCUACAACUACUUCCAUGAAAUCCACCGGUGAGUCUUCCUUCACUACCAGCAUGUCUACAGUUGCCACGGCGACCAGCCGAAUCUGGACUCCAUUUUCGGUUAGUCAAUUUUUGGGAGGCCAGAAACUUUGCUAAAGACCGGACUUAGAGCUCCUCCUCAUCCAUGAACAGGAGACUGUGCUGCAAGGAUUCGUCUCCUCUAAUUGUGACGUUAAUUGCCUCAUCUCAAAGCAGGGACAACCUACAGAUUUCUAAAUUUUUACGCUACCAAUAGCAACGAGAUUAUGGAGUUUCCGAUAAGAGUUUAACAGUUUCUUUCUCGCACAACUCUGUUCUCAGUGUCAUCGACGCCAUCCGCCUCUCUAUUGUUAUUGACGCAUAAAGGUUCAGGUUCCACACACAUGAAAAUUUCUAAGCUAACUGUGGUCUCAGGGGUAACCUCUACGAUGUUGUUGGUCACUUGAGCUGGUAAAUAGCCAGUCUCUAAUUGACUUUCCUGUCUUUGACGAAGUGGAGAUAGCAACCACACGUCAUUUUUUUGGUUCAUUUGCAAUCAAAAGAUGGUCUUGUUAUGAAGAUGUAUCUUUGGGACUAGGCUUCAAAAGAUUUCUACAAAACAGUGAAAAACUCCCAUCAUGUUUUUAGUGACGAAAGUAAACCCAAAACGUCUUGCCGAAACCUUGAUUUUAUUAGCAACAAGGCCGACAUAUCUUUUGCAAAUGAGAGGGUUUCAGUCUUCAAUAGACGCUGAAGAAGAGAGCAGACAGAUUUCGAAGUUGCAGCGUAAAGUCAUGCCCAUGGCCAGGCUUGCAGCUUAAUCAUCCCCAACAUCGUUUAAUGUUGAUCGGAAUAUUGUGUUGUUGUGAUGGCUAAGCCUAGACAUCAUAGCUUUUCCAGAACUCUAUGGAACUUGCAUAUGGAAACAACGAGAUGUCCCUCAACUGUUUAUGCCUGAUUUAUCAGGAAGCACGAGUGCUUCUAUUUGACCUUCCAAUCCUAAUGCUUCAGAAUUCAGAUGCUAAGUUAGUGCUUAACUCCUACAUACAAACAGGGGAGACGUUUCAUCUUGAGUUUAUGCGUGAUUGGGUUAUAUGAUUAUUUUCUUAUAUAUGUUUUCUCUGUGGUUUUGAAUUUCUUAGAGCUCAUAAAAUCAUGUUCUAAUUCAGAUAUGACUCUCUUCUCUCUCUCUAUUUGCAGCUACAACAUCUAGCAUCCGAGGAGAAGAAAAAGAAGAGCAAAGGGGAUACCUUUCUUAGCAUGUUCUUUGAAUCUUCGUUAUUUUUCCAGAUUUCACACAUACAUCGGGCAUAUCAUAUAGAUAUUUGGUGAUGCAAUUGGCAAAGGAAAACAAGUUGCUAAAACGGAAAUUAAGAAGAUAAAAUUAUAUGAGAUAACAUGCAAAUAAGGUGUUAUUUGAAGUGGGGAAAAUGAAGUAGUACGUGGUUCUCAUAUACCUGACUUUUGUUGUAAACUAUUGUGGUUUUCUUGAAGACUGAUGAUUUAAGACGAAUCUUGAUACUUUGAUAGUGAAACAGAGCGAGGAGAUGCUAUAAGGUUUUGUCAAUGUGAUAAAAACAUAUGCAAGGAGCACAUCAGAUAUGAGUCAUGCACGGUUGAAAGAGUCAAGGGCAGAGGAAGAAAAUGAGCUAGAGAAUACAACAAAUAAAGUGUUCAAGAAAGUGAGAGAAAAAUCUAAGAACAUAUAAAAAAAGUCUUACCAAACAUGGUGGUCAUUACCACUAUCAUACCAACCCCAUUUAACCUGAGCCAAUUACGGGAUACCUUUUAUGGACAUGAGUUGACGGAUACUUCGGAGUUGGUGAUAUGUUAACUUUUAUAUAUUUUUCCAAAUAUUUCGAGUAUCAAGUUUGAUAUAAGAAGAUUUAAUCCUUUUACCAGUUAUUUCAUUGUUUUGUAAAAUGGAAGCUCAUAUCCAGGUGUUCAAGUUUGAAAGAAGAGUAGACUUGGGUAUC